rnacentral:rRNA from 1 species
GACGAACGCUGGCGGCGUGCUUAACACAUGCAAGUCGAACGGUGAAGCCUUCGGGUGGAUCAGUGGCGAACGGGUGAGUAACACGUGAGCAAUCUGCCCUUGACUCUGGGAUAACUUCGGGAAACCGGAGCUAAUACCGGAUAUGACAUCUGGCCGCAUGGUCUGGGUGUGGAAAGAUUUAUCGGUCAGGGAUGAGCUCGCGGCCUAUCAGCUUGUUGGNGGGUAAUGGCCCACCAAGGCGACGACGGGUAGGCCGGCCUGAGAGGGCGGACCGGCCACACUGGGACGUGAGACACGGCCCAGACUCCUACGGGAGGCAGCAGUGGGGAAGUAUUGCGCAAUGGGCGAAAGCCUGACGCAGCGACGCCGCGUGAGGGAUGAAGG